rnacentral:tRNA from 1 species
GAGCCAGUGUAAGGUAGUGGUUUGAGCACUGGACUACGACUCUGGAGACCAGGGUUCAAAUCCCCACUUGUUCA